UUAAGCGACUAAGCGUACACGGUGGAUGCCCUGGCAGUCAGAGGCGAUGAAGGACGUGCUAAUCUGCGAAAAGCGCCGGCGAGGUGAUAUGAACCUUUGACCCGGCGAUGUCCGAAUGGGGAAACCCAGUGCAAUCCGUUGCACUAUCGUUAACUGAAUACAUAGGUUAACGAGGCGAACCGGGGGAACUGAAACAUCUAAGUACCCCGAGGAAAAGAAAUCAACCGAGAUUCCCCCAGUAGCGGCGAGCGAACGGGGAGCAGCCCGGAGUCUGAAUCAGCUUGUGUGUUAGUGGAACGGUCUGGAAAGUCCGACGGUACAGGGUGAUAGUCCCGUACACGAAAGCACACAUGCUGUGAACUCGAAGAGUAGGGCGGGACACGUGGUAUCCUGUCUGAAUAUGGGGGGACCAUCCUCCAAGGCUAAAUACUCCUGACUGACCGAUAGUGAACCAGUACCGUGAGGGAAAGGCGAAAAGAACCCCGGCGAGGGGAGUGAAAAAGAACCUGAAACCGUGUACGUACAAGCAGUGGGAGCCUCUUUAUGGGGUGACUGCGUACCUUUUGUAUAAUGGGUCAGCGACUUAUAUUCUGUAGCAAGGUUAACCGUAUAGGGGAGCCGAAGGGAAACCGAGUCUUAACUGGGCGUUAAGUUGCAGGGUAUAGACCCGAAACCCGGUGAUCUAGCCAUGGGCAGGUUGAAGGUUGGGUAACACUAACUGGAGGACCGAACCGACUAAUGUUGAAAAAUUAGCGGAUGACCUGUGGCUGGGGGUGAAAGGCCAAUCAAACCGGGAGAUAGCUGGUUCUCCCCGAAAGCUAUUUAGGUAGCGCCUCGUGAACUCAUCUUCGGGGGUAGAGCACUGUUUCGGCUAGGGGGCCAUCCCGGCUUACCAACCCGAUGCAAACUACGAAUACCGAAGAAUGUUAUCACGGGAGACACACGGCGGGUGCUAACGUCCGUCGUGAAGAGGGAAACAACCCAGACCGCCAGCUAAGGUCCCAAAGUCAUGGUUAAGUGGGAAACGAUGUGGGAAGGCACAGACAGCCAGGAUGUUGGCUUAGAAGCAGCCAUCAUUUAAAGAAAGCGUAAUAGCUCACUGGUCGAGUCGGCCUGCGCGGAAGAUGUAACGGGGCUAAACCAUGCACCGAAGCUGCGGCAGCGACGCUUAUGCGUUGUUGGGUAGGGGAGCGUUCUGUAAGCCGUUGAAGGUGUCCUGUGAGGGGUGCUGGAGGUAUCAGAAGUGCGAAUGCUGACAUAAGUAACGAUAAAGCGGGUGAAAAGCCCGCUCGCCGGAAGACCAAGGGUUCCUGUCCAACGUUAAUCGGGGCAGGGUGAGUCGACCCCUAAGGCGAGGCCGAAAGGCGUAGUCGAUGGGAAACAGGUUAAUAUUCCUGUACUUGGUGUUACUGCGAAGGGGGGACGGAGAAGGCUAUGUCAGCCGGGCGACGGUUGUCCCGGUUUAAGCAUGUAGGCGGAGGUUCCAGGUAAAUCCGGUACCUUAUUAACGCUGAGGUGUGAUGACGAGGCACUACGGUGCUGAAGUGAUAAAUGCCCUGCUUCCAGGAAAAGCCUCUAAGCAUCAGGUAACACGAAAUCGUACCCCAAACCGACACAGGUGGUCAGGUAGAGAAUACCAAGGCGCUUGAGAGAACUCGGGUGAAGGAACUAGGCAAAAUGGUGCCGUAACUUCGGGAGAAGGCACGCUGAUGUGUAGGUGAAGUCCCUGCGGACGGAGCUGAAAUCAGUCGAAGAUACCAGCUGGCUGCAACUGUUUAUUAAAAACACAGCACUGUGCAAACACGAAAGUGGACGUAUACGGUGUGACGCCUGCCCGGUGCCGGAAGGUUAAUUGAUGGGGUUAGCGGCAACGCGAAGCUCUUGAUCGAAGCCCCGGUAAACGGCGGCCGUAACUAUAACGGUCCUAAGGUAGCGAAAUUCCUUGUCGGGUAAGUUCCGACCUGCACGAAUGGCGUAAUGAUGGCCAGGCUGUCUCCACCCGAGACUCAGUGAAAUUGAACUCGCUGUGAAGAUGCAGUGUACCCGCGGCAAGACGGAAAGACCCCGUGAACCUUUACUAUAGCUUGACACUGAACACUGGUCCUUGAUGUGUAGGAUAGGUGGGAGGCUUUGAAGCGUGGACGCCAGUCUGCGUGGAGCCAACCUUGAAAUACCACCCUUUAAUGGCUGGUGUUCUAACGUAGACCCGUAAUCCGGGUUGCGGACAGUGUCUGGUGGGUAGUUUGACUGGGGCGGUCUCCUCCCAAAGAGUAACGGAGGAGCACGAAGGUUGGCUAAUCCUGGUCGGACAUCAGGAGGUUAGUGCAAUGGCAUAAGCCAGCUUGACUGCGAGCGUGACGGCGCGAGCAGGUGCGAAAGCAGGUCAUAGUGAUCCGGUGGUUCUGAAUGGAAGGGCCAUCGCUCAACGGAUAAAAGGUACUCCGGGGAUAACAGGCUGAUACCGCCCAAGAGUUCAUAUCGACGGCGGUGUUUGGCACCUCGAUGUCGGCUCAUCACAUCCUGGGGCUGAAGUAGGUCCCAAGGGUAUGGCUGUUCGCCAUUUAAAGUGGUACGCGAGCUGGGUUUAGAACGUCGUGAGACAGUUCGGUCCCUAUCUGCCGUGGGCGCUGGAGAAUUGAGGGGGGCUGCUCCUAGUACGAGAGGACCGGAGUGGACGCAUCACUGGUGUUCGGGUUGUCAUGCCAAUGGCACUGCCCGGUAGCUAAAUGCGGAAGAGAUAAGUGCUGAAAGCAUCUAAGCACGAAACUUGCCCCGAGAUGAGUUCUCCCUGAGACCUUGAGUCUCCUGAAGGAACGUUGAAGACGACGACGUUGAUAGGUCGGGUGUGUAAGCGCAGCGAUGCGUUGAGCUAACCGAUACUAAUGAACCGUGAGGCUUAACCUU
rnacentral:rRNA from 2 species